AGAAAUACUCGGCAGAGCAGAUAAAAAGAUGUGGAGAGAUGGCACGAAAGAUAUGUUUCUUCAAAGACCAAAUACAAAAGGUUGGAGUUUCUCCUAAAGAGUUUAUAGACAAAUAUGUUUAUAUGUACUUGGAUGAUGUUGAGGUGAACUCAUAUGCUUGCUUUUGUUUUUAAUUUCUUGGACAGCCAUUGCUUCUCAUUUCGCCAGCCCUAUACUUGAUUUCUUUCUUUCCCUUUUUGAGGUCAAGCUUGGAGAGCUAGAAGCUGAACUUUCUGUAAUCAAGGUCAUAGUCAAAACGUUGCAGUGGCUAUCAAGUAUCAACAGUAGCAUCCUUAGUGUCUUACAUAUGGCAACUCUUCCAAAGGUCUAUUGUUAUUGUCUCAAACAUCGUUAUAUAUAUGAAAGAUUCUGUAACUAAGGCUUUUAUGAAAGCUAUACUGGAGAGCUUUACAAGAGUACUUCAAGGUUUAGCUUUUAACACUGUUGCUUAAAAUGACUAAUACCAUCUUUGUAGACAAAACUAUGAGAUGCAGUGAAUAACUUCUUAUAGGUUUUACGUUUUACUUCUAUGUUUGCGCUUUUUCUUCUUCUCUUAAUUAUAUCUCCUGUAAAUUUGGGUCAGAUAAAAAUCAAUGUAAAUCUAGAAAUAUGUAUUUACUUCCUUUUGCAAGUUCUGUAUAUAGUAUUUAGUAAUAUUUAGUAAACUAAUUUUUGAUAACUAAUUUUUGAUUCAAUAUUUUAUAUACAUUAUACACUUAUAUACUAUUUGUAAAUAUGACUUAAAACUCAAAAUAAAACACAACAAAAAUAUCUUUUUUUUAUUGGUCGUGCCAAUAACUACUCUAGGGAUGUCCGAAAUGUUUUUAUUAUAAACAGAUGAAGAAACUCAUCCGUUUCCUUAUGUAGCACCAUAAUCUCAUACGUUUCCUUAUAUAGCACCGUAAUCCUCCACCAUGUUCAGGCUGCAUGCUUCUUCUUCUACGUGACUCUUGCUUUCCUUUGUUUUCGUUCAAGUUUUAACGUUACAGUCAUAACUAUCCUUUACUACAAGUUGCAUCUUUGCUUUUUCAAGUCUACCUUACGAGUUACGAGUCUCUUAACUUAUACAUUAUUAAAUGGUUUACAUACGAAAAUUAACCACAAUUAGUUUCUAAAAAUUAUUAACCACAAAUAUAAGAAUUGGUAAAUGAUAAAAAUAAUAGUUUCAAUAUUAUGGUAUUAGACAGCUUUCCGCUACGACCAGAUAAGCAAUGAUACACAUAGUGCUUGGCAAACAAGUUAUUAAUCAAACAUAUAUUAUAUUAUGUUUUUUUAUGCCCCAUAAUAAAUUUAUAGUAAAUUAAAAAUUAAAUUAAUGUAUUACUCGGUAUAGCAAAUGGAAACAAUAUAUGAGGUAACAGAAUAAGUAAAACAUCCACUAAUUGUAUACUGAAACUGAAUAAUAAAAUUUUAUUAAAAAUACAAAUACAUUCAAUAUAUGCAAAAUGUAAAAUAAUCGAUGUCUUGAGCACUAAAAUUAAUCACAACAAUAGAAACUCGAAUAUACUUACUAUAUAUAUAGAAAUUGAGCAAACAUUUAACAAUGUAUACCAUUUCAAUCAUGCGUAUCAUGUUAAUACAAACUUAUAAUCUCUGACAAUAAUAAUAAAAAUAAAUUAUUUUAGUUAGACAUAUCACAUAUGUAAAGAUGAUAUAUAAAAUGUUCUCAUUAAAAAACAUAACAAACAAAUAAAGAUAAUAACUAAAAUAAUAUAAUGUCAAAAAAUAUAUUUGACAACAAAUAAAAAUACAAAAACAAGUGACAAAAAUAAGCAAACAUCAAACGUUAAGUAAAUGGAUAUAAUGUCCUUCAACAUUUAAAUUUGAGAAAUACUUUAGGAUAUCACUUAAAAAGUUUUUGUCACAAAUAUAGACUCUAAGGAUCAAAAUGACCAAAAUAUUUCAUUAAAUAGGUAAAUAUGCACUUAUACCCAUAGGGUUAACUAAUCCAAACUUUGGGGUUUAGAAUUAAGGGUGGAGAUUUAUGAUUGAGGUUUAAAAUUUUAUAAAAUAAAAAAUAAAUAUUAAAAAUUUGAAAUAAAAAUUUUUAAAAUAUUUUCAAAAAGUAUUUUCAAAUUACAAAAAAAAAAU